rnacentral:rRNA from 1 species
GAUGAACGCUAGCGGCAGGCCUAAUACAUGCAAGUCGAGGGGCAGCACAGUAGCAAUACUGAUGGCGACCGGCGCACGGGUGCGUAACACGUAUACAAUCUGCCUUCUACAGGGGAAUAGCUCGGAGAAAUCCGGAUUAAUGUCCCAUAAUAGGUUGACUGGCAUCAGUUGAUUUUGAAAGCUCCGGCGGUAGAAGAUGAGUAUGCGCAUGAUUAGCUAGUUGGUGAGGUAACGGCUCACCAAGGCGACGAUCAUUAGGGGAUCUGAGAGGACUACCCCCCACACUGGUACUGAGACACGGACCAGACUCCUACGGGAGGCAGCAGUAAGGAAUAUUGGUCAAUGGAGGCAACUCUGAACCAGCCGUGCCGCGUGCAGGAUGAAGGCGCUAUGCAUCGUAAACUGCUUUUAUACGGGAGAAAACCCGGGUACGUGUACCCGGUUGAUAGUACUGUAAGAAUAAGGAUCGGCUAACUUCGUGCCAGCCGCCGCGGUAAUAC